rnacentral:rRNA from 1 species
UCGAGAAUCUUCGGCAAUGGGCGCAAGCCUGACCGAGCGACGCCGCGUGCGGGAUGAAGGCCUUCGGGUUGUAAACCGCUGUCGGGAGGGAUGAAGUGCAUGGGGGUUCUCCCCCGUGUUUGACAGAGCUCCGGAGGAAGCACGGGCUAAGUUCGUGCCAGCAGCCGCGGUAAUACGAACUGUGCGAACGUUAUUCGGAAUCACUGGGCUUAAAGGGUGCGUAGGCGGCGCUCCAAGUCAGGUGUGAAAU